rnacentral:rRNA from 1 species
CCUACGGGUGGCAGCAGUGAGGAAUAUUGGUCAAUGGGCGAGAGCCUGAACCAGCCAAGCCGCGUGAGGGAAGACGGCCCUAUGGGUUGUAAACCUCUUUUGUCGGGGAACAAAACCCGGGACGUGUCCGGGACUGCAUGUAUCGGAAGAAAAAGCAUCGGCUAACUCCGUGCCAGCAGCCGCGGUAAUACGGAGGAUGCGAGCGUUAUCCGGUUUUAUUGGGUUUAAAGGGUGCGUAGGCGGUCCGUUAAGUCAGCGGUAAAAUUGCGGGGCUCAACCCCGCCGAGCCGUUGAAACUGGCAGACUUGAGUUGGCGAGAAGCACGCGGAAUGCGCGGUGUAGCGGUGAAAUGCAUAGAUAUCGCGAAGAACUCCGAUUGCGAAGGCAGCGUACUGGCGCGAGACUGACGCUGAGGCUCGAAAGCGUGGGUAUCGAACAGGAUUAGAUACCCGAGUAGUC